UUCCUCCUCACUCCUCUCGCUCCCUGUUUGCCAAGGGUGGAGGCGAAGCGGGUGACCGCCGUGCAACUCGUGCUGACCCGCGUCUAUCCCCUCUUGCGAGACGAGGAGGGAAGGAGAGAUCCGGCGGGUGCUAUCGCCGGCUACGGGAGAGCUGGCUGCUGUGCGGGCGCCAUAGCCAGCCGCGGGAGUAGCUCCGUCCCUGCGCGAUGAAGGCGGCGCUGUUGCAACUGCAGCUCCUUGCCCUCAUCUCCGACGUCCACCUCGCCCGCAGAGAUGGCGGAGGAGGGCGAGAGGUGGGUGCCACUGGCGACAGCUAGAGGCAGGUCGCUAGAGCCGCCGUCCGCGGGAUCCCCCUUCCGCCCUCUGCCAGGUCAAGCUCCACGAGGUCCUCCUCCGCUACCACGUCUCACGCGCCGGUCUGUCCGUCUCCUCAAUUCCAUUCUACCAUCGCUCGGAUGAUGACGGCGAUUGGGCAAUGUGACAUUCUACACGGUCACUUCUCUGCACCGGUGCCAGAGAAACCUACAUGCAGUUCCUCUUGGAUGCCAUGGUUGCGGUGGCAGGGCCUCUGUUUCUAUUCCUUAUUUUGGUAGCAUCAGUAAUUGCAAGAUGUCAAUUUAUUUUGGCACCUUUUGGCCGUUCCAAAAAUUGAAACCAAUUUUGCUACAGAGUGUGCUAGAGUGUGUUCAAGGGUAGGACACAGCGAUGCUAGUUAGUGAUGUGAGGUGUCAGUUAUUGCAGCAUUACACAUUAAUGGUAGAUGAAGAGGUAAUGGACUAAUGGAUUUCAGAGUUGUAAAGACAACCAAAGAUCGCGUAUCUGAUUCUGAAUGAGCAUGCUCCCAUGAGAAAAAGUCGCAAACAUGGUGUAGAAGUUAGCGAACAUUACAUGCGAACAUCCCGCAAAAAUGAUCUUUCUUGACAUUUUGUUCCAUUUUACUCCCAUGAGCAUUUUACUCCCACAUGUAUUUUUCUGUUUCACACAUCACAAAGUACACAGUUAACUGUUUCCUGUUGACUCCUAGUCAUCCAGAGUACUGUAUAUUUUUUCAAGUGUGUUGCAUCAUUGCUUAAACCGAAUAUUUGUUUUGAUUCAGAUGCAUUCUUUCUUGAGCAGACGGAGGAGUGGAUGUGUCGGACAAGUUCUCGGAGCACUACAGAACCUAGGAGCGUGCUUACCACAAGACAGAAGUAAGAAGCACAUGCAUUUCCAAUUGAACUUGUCCCACCAAACAAGGUUGUUUGUUUGUCGUCCGAACCACUCAACCAAGAUGCUAUUAUUUGCUCCAACUCAUGUACUGAAGGGUAUAUAAGCAUCCAUUAACUCAAGUACUCCAUCUUAGAUCUAUCGUCUACAGUAUUCAUCAAGCCCCCUACUGGUUAUGCAACCAUCACAGCAAUAUCCUUACUGUGCAAGUUAUACUCCUUUUCUGAGAAGUCUCCGGUACAGUGCUCUCAGCUUCAUCUUUGUUCAAGCGCGCGAGCUGUCGUUCUUGCAGUGGCACCGGUUCAGUAUGUCCUCCAGCCCCAUGAUGGGAGGUACCACAUGUCGACCCUCAUAAAAUUUCUUGGCACAUGGACUAACAAGCUGAAGAGCAUCAUCACUGAUGUCGAGGAGAAGAAGACCAGAAGUGCUUUCCUCGAGGAUGUUUCCUUCCUCUUCAGGUGGAGAGAAGCUGAGAUCUGGAAGAACCAUGGUGAUCUGUUGUUCUGCCGAGCGAGGAAGAAGGUGUUGUGCUGAGCGCGUGUGGUUUUGGAGGUGUGGCCGGCUUCCGGGGAGUGCAGCUGUUUGAGCUAGAGCUGCCGGCGAGCUGGGCCACGUGAGCUGGGCAACUCAACCAAAUCGUCGGUGGAGGAGGAGGCGCGGGAGGAGGCAGUGCGUGCUCCGAUCCCUGGCUGGCCUUGCUGCCUGGCGAAGCCCUGGACGAGGGGCGAUGAGCUUCUGGCUAAGGGGACGGUGGCCGGCUUCCCGGAUCGAUCGGACCCGGGACUCGCUGGGCGGAGGAGAAGUAGCUGGAGGCCAGAGGUGGAGUCGCUGGGCUGAGGUGAAGGCCGGAGGUGGAGCACCUCAUGGUCGCUAGGGUGGAGGAGAAGCGGCUCCCAGGCGAAGGACCGUCGUCGAGAUGCGGGUGGGAGGAGGACCUCGGCGAGGAAGAGAUAGCGAUCUGAUUGUAAUUUCGAAUCAAGGGUAGAGACGUCUUUCUAGCACUUUUCACCUGGUCGGAAAUUCCCCCUGACGUCUUAUAUUUCAUCUAUGUUUGAAAACAUAGAUAUUUGAACAUCUAUGUUGCUGUAGAACAAGAGCCAAGCCAUGCGCAUUACACCCGGUAUGUACAAACCAUAUUUCAAAAACAUAAAAAAAAAU